rnacentral:rRNA from 1 species
UUCCGGUUGAUCCUGCCGGAGGCCACUGCUAUCGGAAUUCGGCUAAGCCAUGCUAGUCAGAGAGCAAUCUCGGCGUAAGGCUGAGUAACAUGUGGGUAAUCUGCCCUUAGGUGGAGGAUAACCCCGGGAAACUGGGGAUAAUACUCCAUAGGCAAUUCGUGCUGGAAUGCUGUUUUGCUUAAAGGCUUGCCGCCUAAGGAUGAGCCUGCAUCCUAUCAGGCUGUUGGUGAGGUAAUUGCUCACCAAACCUAUGACGGGUAGGGGCCAUGUGAGUGGGAGCCCCCAGAUGGGUACUGAGACAAGGACCCAGGUCCUACGGGGCGCAGCAGGCGCGAAAACUUCGCAAUGCCCGAAAGGGUGACGGGGGAAUUCCGAGUGCUAUUCACUUAGUGGAUAGCUUUUGGCAAUUGUAAACAGAUUGCAGAAUAAGGGCCGGGUAAGGCUGGUGCCAGCCGCCGCGGUAACACCAGCGGCCCGAGUGGUGGUCGGUAUUAUUGGGCCUAAAGCGUCCGUAGCCGGGCGAUCAAGUCUCCGGGUAAAUCCAGCGGCUUAACCGUUGGAAUUCCGGGGAUACUGUUCGUCUUGAGGUCGGGAGACGGUAUGGGUACUCCUAGUGUAAGGGUGAAAUCUUCUGAUCCUAGGGGGACCACCUGUGGUGAAAACGCAUACCGAGAACGAGCCUGACGGUGAGGGACGAAGCCUGAGGGAGCGAACGGGAUUAGAUACCCCGGUAGUCUCAGGUGUAAACAAUGUCCGUUUGGUGUUGCAUACACUACGGGUGUGUGCAGUGCCGAAGCGAAGGCGUUAAACGGACCGCCUGGGGAGUAUGACCGCAAGGUUGAAACUUAAAGGAAUUGACGGGGGAGCACCACAAGGAGUGGAUGCUGCGGUUUAAUUGGAUUCAACGCCGGAAAUCUCACCAGGGGUGACAGCAGAAUGACGCUCAGACUUAUGAUCUUAGCCGACGCGCUGAGAGGAGGUGCAUGGCCGGCGUCAGCUCGUGCCGUAAGGUGUCCUGUUAAGUCAGGUAACGAGCGAGACCCGCGCCUUUUGUUGCUACUCAGUCCUCCGGGACUGGGGCACUCAAAAGGGACCGCUGUUGAUAAAACAGAGGAAGGAACGGGCAACGCUAGGUCAGUAUGCCCCGAAUCUCCUGGGCUACACGCGGCAUACAAUGUGCAUGACAAAGGGUCGCAACGCCGAAAGGCGACGCAAAUCUCUAAACAUGCACUCAGUUCGGAUUGUGGGCUGUAACUCGCCCACAUGAAGCCGGAAUCCCCAGUAAUCGCGGGUCACUAUCCCGCGGUGA